rnacentral:rRNA from 1 species
AGUGAACGCUAGCGGGAUGCUUUACACAUGCAAGUCGAACGAGUGGCGGACGGGUGAGUUAUAUAUAGGAACGUGCCCAGUAGAGGGGGAUAACUACUCGAAAGAGUGGCUAAUACCGCAUACUAUUUGAGCGGCCGACAUAGGAUUAGCUAGUUGGUGGGGUAAAGGCUCACCAAGGCGACGCUCCGUAGCUGGUUUGAGAGGACGACCAGGCACACUGGGACUGAGACACGGCCCAGACUCCGACGGGAGGCAGCAGUGGGGAAUUGUGGACAAUGGGGGAAACCCUGAUCCAGCCAUCCCGCGUGUAUGAGAAGGCCUUCGGGUUGUAAAGUACUUUUGGCAGAGAAGCGGUAUCUGCAGAAUAAGCACCGGCUAACUACGUGCCAGCAGCCGCGGUAAUUC